rnacentral:misc_RNA from 1 species
GAUGAAGAACGCAGCGAAAUGCGAUAAGUAAUGUGAAUUGCAGAAUUCAGUGAAUCAUCGAAUCUUUGAACGCACAUUGCGCCCGCCAGCAUUCUGGCGGGCAUGCCUGUUCGAGCGUCAUUUCAACCCUCGAGCCCCCCCGGGGGCCUCGGUGUUGGGGGACGGCACACCAGCCGCCCCCGAAAUGCAGUGGCGACCCCGCCGCAGCCUCCCCUGCGUAGUAGCACACACCUCGCACCGGAGCGCGGAGGCGGUCACGCCGUAAAACGCCCAACUUUCUUAGAGUUGACCUCGGAUCAGGUAGGAAUACCCGCUGAACUUAAGCAUAUCAAUAGGCGGAGGA